AACCUUGCGCAGUGACAAUAUCGUAACAAAUGAAGGUCUCCUGAGGGGCGAUUAUUGCUAGUUGAAACUUUUACCAAUUUAAGGAAAGUGUGUAACAGAUGUUCAUUUUUAAAUAACAAACGUUG
rnacentral:snRNA from 1 species